AAGAACGAGAAUUGUUGAAA
rnacentral:snRNA from 1 species